rnacentral:rRNA from 1 species
AACAGGAUUAGAUACCCUGGUAGUCCACGCCCUAAACGAUGUCAACUAGUUGUUGGUAGAGUAAAAUCUAUGAGUAACGCAGCUAACGCGUGAAGUUGACCGCCUGGGGAGUACGAUCGCAAGAUUAAAACUCAAAUGAAUUGACGGGGGCCCGCACAAGCGGUGGAUUAUGUGGAUUAAUUCGAUGCAACGCGAAAAACCUUACCUGGCCUUGACAUGUACGGAACUUUCCAGAGAUGGAUUGGUGCUCGAAAGAGAACCGUAACACAGGUGCUGCAUGGCUGUCGUCAGCUCGUGUCGUGAGAUGUUGGGUUAAGUCCCGCAACGAGCGCAACCCUUGCCAAUAAUUGCCAUCAUUUAGUUGGGCACUUUAUUGGGACUGCCGAUGACAAAUCGGAGGAAGGUGGGGAUGACGUCAAGUCCUCAUGGCCCUUAUGGCCAGGGCUUCACACGUAAUACAAUGGUCGGUACAGAGGGUCGCCAACCCGCGAGGGGGAGCUAAUCCCAGAAAGCCGAUCGUAGUCCGGAUUGUUCUCUGCAACUCGAGAGCAUGAAGUCGGAAUCGCUAGUAAUCGCGGAUCAGCAUGUCGCGGUGAAUACGUUCCCGGGCCUUGUACACACCGCCCGUCACACCAUGGGAGUGGGUUUUACCAGAAGUAGGUAGUCUAACCGCAAGGAGGGCGCUUACCACGGUAGUAUUCAUGACUGGGGUGAAGUCGUAACAAGGUAACC